CGGAAACCCACCCUUCCCCUUUCUCUCUCCUCCCCCCCCCGAGCUCUCUCUUCUCCGGUUCGACCCUUUCCUUCCUCCCUCCGAUUUCCGGCGAUUCCGGCCACCAACCGGCGUGCCACCGGUCACCAGAGGAGCGCUUCCUCCCUCCGAGCACCCCAGCAGCCUUGGUUUUCCACGAUUUGGCCGGAAAACCACGGAUCGAAGCCUAAACCACUCCGGCUGCAGUUUGGGACUUUUGCCGAUUCCCGGCGAUUCCGGCCACCUCCGGUCCCCAUUUCUUCGUCG
rnacentral:lncRNA from 1 species